rnacentral:rRNA from 1 species
AAUCAACGCUGGCGGCGUGCCUAACACAUGCAAGUCGAACGCGAAAGCCCCGCAAGGGGUCAGUAGAGUGGCAAACGGGUGAGUAACACGUGGGUGACCUGCCUUCGAGUGGGGGAUAACGUCCCGAAAGGGACGCUAAUACCGCAUGACAUCCUGCUUUUGAAAAAGCGGAGAUCAAAGCUGGGGAUCGCAAGACCUAGCGCUUGAAGAGGGGCCCGCGCCUGAUUAGCUAGUUGGUGAGGUAACGGCUCACCAAGGCGACGAUCAGUAUCCGGCCUGAGAGGGCGGACGGACACACUGGGACUGAGACACGGCCCAGACUCCUACGGGAGGCAGCAGUGGGGAAUUGUUCGCAAUGGGCGCAAGCCUGACGACGCAACGCCGCGUGGAGGACGAAGAUCUUCGGGUCGUAAACUCCUGUCGAGCGGGACGAACGCUGCGCGGAUGAAUAAUCCGCGGAAUUGACGGUACCGCUAAAGGAAGCCCCGGCUAACUCCGUG